rnacentral:tRNA from 1 species
UCCCUGGUGGCUCAGAUGGUAAAGCGUCUGCCUACAACGCAGGAGACCCAGGUUAGAUCCCUGAGUUGGGAC